ACAGGUAGGUGCCAACCUUGGUUGGCACGGAUGUGUCAGCGCCCGGUGCAAGCGUGUGCCAACCAAGGUUGGCACCUACCAGA
rnacentral:antisense_RNA from 1 species